rnacentral:misc_RNA from 1 species
AACACUGUUAACCUGCGGUACCUGCGGAAGGAUCAUUACAUGGCGGAGAAGGUGGGCACUGGCAAACUCCAGGUUGUGAUGCCUUCACGCUCUUCCACCCUUGUCUAUUUGCACCUUCUGUCGUUCCCUCGGCGGGUUUCGACCCGCCGGCGGCAACAUUGAAAAACCUUUUUGCAGUUAGCAUCCAAUUCUUCUGAUCAAAAUAUCAAAUCGUUACAACUUUUAACAAUGGAUCUCAGA